UUUUGCGUGUAAAUGAACUUAUACUUUGCAACUUACUUUUGUUGCGUUACCUAACAACAAGCUAGCGCCACGCCAGACGCGCGUGCAUACGUCAUGCGCCAGACAAGCCGCAGGAGUGAGCGAGGCCGGCUGCGCAUGUGAAGCUCGCGUGCUCGGCUACCCGUCUCUUUUGGAUGUAGCCCGUUUUUGGGGCUACCGGCGAUCUCUUGUGUUCCGUCUACAUUUCGACACGGCACCGCUGCACUACCGGACUACAGCAAGCUGAUGGCAUCCGGUGGAGCUUCGUACGGCAACGACUGCUGCUUACCUGGUGCCCCAACUUUGGAUGAACGUAGAAGAAGCCCGGAACGAGUAUUUAUAUAGAGCAAAAUAAACAUUUCAUCAUUUCAGAA
rnacentral:lncRNA from 1 species